AUGUCUCGUCCGCUUGCAGAGUCUAGUACAGUUGGAGUUGCCGCAGCAAUCGCGAACCCAAUCUGCCACAUGCCGACAUGCAGCUUGCGAUCAUGAGGAGUGGAUUCCCGCGUUCGACCUGCUCGCUCUCAUGGCGUAAUUUACUGCCUGAAUCAAGAUCGGAGUUCCUUGCCAUAUCGCAGCGCCAAGUCCGCCGGUGCUGAUGCACUAUAUUAUGGGAGACAAGCGGCGGCCGGGCUGCGAGAAGCCGCAGGAGGUGACUGAAGCAGGCCGAGCUCGGCUCAAAGAGCGCACCAAUGAUGGUUGACGAGAUGCCCCCGUCGGAAUGCCCGGACGCUGCUCGACUAAAUGCCCCCGUACGGAUGCAGGACUGGUGCUCGACGAAAUGCCUGCAAGAAACCGGCAAAUCCUGUGAUCUGUCUUUUUUCUCCCGCCCAGCUCGCCAGGCGCUGCAGCUGGGGCGAUGCUUUCUCUGAAGUUCUCUGCAAUGGACAGACGUAAUUCCAGGUGUGCCUCCUGUUCUAUGGCUCCCACUUUAUAGUAUGUUAUACUAUGGACCUUAUGAUGCCAGAUUGGGUGUGUUGCCUGAACCUCAUGUGUGUUCCUACAUUUUACUAGUAAACACCGUGAAUAUGUAAACUGCACUAGGACCAUAUUCUAUGUCGGUUUCCAUUCCACCUGAGGAUCUUCCACCUGUUUGGGCCGCCCACUCUUACCUAGGAUAGGUAGGCACAAAGUCAUGAGCCCAUUACAGGAACCCGGUCCCCAGCUAUAACUCAAAUUUCGAUGCCAUUAAGUGUAUCUGCAAGACUGUAAUUCCAAACGUAAAUCACUUGGUCAACUUCUUAGAGUUUACGUCCUUCAAAGGAACGAUAGGAGGAUGAAAAGGAUAUCAGGCUCGGAGUUUCCAAGGGCAGUACAGAAGCUGCAUUAUGUUUUUCAGAUAAACAUGUUUGAUCAGUUGAGUCAUGAAGGAUGAAAAGGAAAUCUUAGGAAGCAGAAGAAUUAUGUGUUCAGUACCCGCUGUUGGUCUGAGUCGCUUCAACUUCCAUGACACAUCCAUGAAACACCACGUGGAAGAAAAUUUAUGCAAGAAUGAUACCACCCAGACUGCACACUUAGAUGGUAUUGUCAGCUUCUCUGCAGCUUCCGAUGGCGUACUCCCCCUGGCAGGUUGAACUCUCCAACAGGCGUUACAGCGGCCACCAAAAUGGCUAGCAUCAGGAGGUACUUCCCAAAGUUACACUCCAAUGGCUUGUCAACUGGAUUCUCAGGCUCCAUUUGCUUGACAGUGCAGGGAAAGAGUCUCCUUACACUGUCAAGGAUGUAAUUAAUGUUUAGCGGUUUUAUCUCUUUCCCGUUCCUAUAUAGUUGCCCUGCUUGGCCAUUGCAGUUCUGGAUAUUGGCAUGGCAGAAUAAGUGGAUCUCUGACAGACUUUGUUGAAUUAUGUUGAUUAAAAAUUGAGAUCGUAUCUUCUCUUCAUACACCUCCUUUCAAGUUGUUUGUAACUAACAGGCAUCGGACAAUGAACCAAGUAAUGUGCAAGGGUUUAGUGCCUAACAUAGUACUCCCUCCGUCCUGAAUUACUUGUCGCAGAAAUGGAUAAAAAUGAAUGUAUCUAGAACUAAAAUACGUCUGGAUUCCGCGACAAGUAAUUCUGGAAUCCGGACGGAGGGAUUAUGUAAGAUCAGAGAUGGACUUGCAUAGUGGUUUAUAUGUCAGCGUGAACUGGAGACUUGCAAGUGGUGUACUGGCCGCGUGAACAGAAAGAUAGUGGGCUUGAUAUUUUUUUCUAUGAAGACUUGACUUGGUGUCCAUAAGACAGAGGACUAGUUUGUAAACAUGUAAUAUAGAAUUUGUGAUAUGAUUCUCAAGUCAACUAAAUAUGUGGGCACAUCUCUUACUAAUAUUUUUUUUUUCAAGUGCAACUUGCACCAGCUACUGGAUGUUAACAUUUCCCCUCUGAAUAUAAGGUGACUCCAAAAAUUAUUCCGAUGCUUAUGAUUUAACUGCCUUGUCUAAGUUGCAGUGCAAUGUUACAUCAUGCAUUCAUGCUAAUGUAUAAUUAUAUGUUCAGGAGCACUUGGAUGCAGGCUGGUCUAUGAAUUGAGAUAGCACCCCUGUGGAGGUUGUCCAGAUCAUUUUCAACAAAAUUGCCUUGUGCGACUGCAAGGGUCAGGUGCCAUGGGAAAGGCAACCUGGUGAGUUUUGGAUUGGUUUGGUUGGAAUGAUGCCUAAGAAAGGCUCCAGAGUUGGGCUAUACUGCGAAAGAGACAAAGUUCGUACCAAUUGGUGGCACCUCUGUUUUGACUGUUUGGAAAACAAGAAAUAAGUCGUGUUUCCAUAGUAUACAUCUGGCAAAGUAUGUGAUAUGUCCUACAUAUAUUGAUGGUAUCACUGAUGAAAUCAUGUAAUGCAGAAAACAUUACUCAUUUUGUGGCUUUGUAGGGGUACAUGGUAAUCGGGUCAGAUGGUUAUACACCUGGCACCUGCGUUUCUCUCGCUAUGCCAAAGAGGGCGGCGUGGGCCCUUGUCGAAGCAGAUACUUGUUUGGGUGCAUGAAUAUUUGCCGAUUUCCAUAGAAGCUAAACUAAUUGCUGUCAAGUUAUAAAACUUGUGCAAGUCUCCAAUUUCAAACGUA